CCUACGGGAGGCUGCAGUGGGGAAUAUUGCACAAUGGGGGAAACCCUGAUGCAGCGACGCCGCGUGAGUGAAGAAGUAUUUCGGUAUGUAAAGCUCUAUCAGCAGGGAAGAAAAUGACGGUACCUGAUUAAGAAGCCCCGGCUAACUACGUGCCAGCAGCCGCGGUAAUACGUAGGGGGCAAGCGUUAUCCGGAUUGACUGGGUGGAAAGGGAGCGUAGACGGCAGCACAAGUCUGGAGUGAAAUGCCGGGGCUUAACCCCGGAACUGCUUGGGAAACUGUGCAGCUAGAGUGCAGGAGAGGUAAGUGGAAUUCCUAGUGGAGCGGUGAAAUGCGUAGAUAUUAGCAGGAACACCAGUGGCGAAGGCGGCUGACUGGACUGUAACUGACGUUGAGGCUCGAAAGCGUGGGGAGCAAACAGGAUUAGAUACCCCGGUAGUC
rnacentral:rRNA from 1 species